AACGAACGCUGGCGGCGCGUCUUAAGCAUGCAAGUCGAGCGGCAAGCGGUAGCAAUAUCGCCUAGAGCGGCGGACUGGUGAGUAACACGUGGGUGAUCUACCUUCUGGAUGGGGAUAGCCUGUGGAAACACAGGAUAAUACCGAAUACGUUGGUUAGGCUGCGGCCUAGCCAGGAAAGGUCCGUUUGGACCGCCGGAAGAUGAGCUCGCGGCUGAUUAGCUUGUUGGCGGGGUAAUGGCCCACCAAGGCGAUGAUCAGUAGCCGGACUGAGAGGUUGAACGGCCACAUUGGGACUGAGAUACGGCCCAAACUCCUACGGGUGGCAG
rnacentral:rRNA from 1 species